CAUUGCUAUAUAAAGGUAAUGUUUGUGCCUUAAAACAGGGAAUUUCAUUAAGAAAACUCAAGAAAAUUGUUUGUGUUUUUUUAGUACAUCAUGAAAUACAUAUGCGCUGUCGUUUUAAUUGCCACCUUGAACUUUUGGGGUUCAGCUAUGGCCAAUCCUGUUUUCAGCUUCUUGGAUAGUGAUGUGGCAAGAACUAUUAUUAUAUAAAAACAAACAUAGCUCCAGAAGGAAUCCAA